rnacentral:rRNA from 1 species
GCCAUUGCUAUCAGGGUUUGACUAAGCCAUGCGAGUCGAGAGGUGUAAGACCUCGGCAUACUGCUCAGUAACACGUGGUUAACCUGCCCUAAGGUGGAGAAUACUCCCGGGAAACUGGGGCUAAUGCUCCAUAGUGGAUAUGUCCUGGAAUGGUAUAUCCUCGAAAGAUCCGUCGCCUUAGGAUGGGACUGCGUCCGAUUAGGUUGUUGGCGGGGUAACGGCCCACCAAGCCAUUGAUCGGUACGGGUUGUGGGAGCAAGAUCCCGGAGAUGGAUUCUGAGACAUGAAUCCAGGCCCUACGGGGCGCAGCAGGCGCGCAAACUUUACAAUGCGAGCAAUCGUGAUAAGGAAACCCUGAGUGCCUGUCGAUGCAGGCUGUUCAUAUAUCUAAAUCAUAUGUGAAGAAAGGGCAGGGCAAGACCGGUGCCAGCCGCCGCGGUAAUACCGGCUGCUCGAGUGAUGGCCACUAUUACUGGGUUUAAAGCGUCCGUAGCUUGACUGUUAGGUCUCUUGGGAAAUCUUCACGCUCAACGUGAAGGCGUCUAAGAGAUACCGGCAGUCUUGGAACUGGGAGAGGUAAACCGUACUUCGGGGGUAGGAGUGAAAUCUUGUAAUCCUCGAGGGACGACCUAUGGCGAAGGCAGUUUACCAGAACAGCUUCGACAGUGAGGGACGAAAGCUGGGGGAGCAAACGGGAUUAGAUACCCCGGUAGUCCCAGCCGUAAACAAUGUGCGUUAGGUGUGUCGGUAACCACGUGUUACUGAUGCGCCGAAGAGAAAUCGUGAAACGCACCACCUGGGAAGUACGGUCGCAAGGCUGAAACUUAAAGGAAUUGGCGGGGGAGCACCACAACAGGUGGAGCCUGCGGUUUAAUUGGAUUCAACGCCGGACAUCUCACCGGAUAAGACAGCUGAAUGAUUGUCAAUCUGAAGGUUUUACAUGACUAGCUGAGAGGAGGUGCAUGGCCGUCGUCAGUUCGUACUGUGAAGCAUCCUGUUAAGUCAGG